rnacentral:rRNA from 1 species
GACGAACGCUGGCGGCGUGCUUAACACAUGCAAGUCGAACGGUAAGGCCCUUUCGGGGGUACACGAGUGGCGAACGGGUGAGUAACACGUGAGUAACCUGCACACAACUAUGGGAUAACGCUAGGAAACUGGAGCUAAUACUGGAAAUGUGCUCCUGCUGCAUGGUGGGGGUUGGAAAGCUCCGGCGGUUGUGGAUGGACUCGCGGCGUAUCAGCUUGCUGGUGGGGCAGUGGCCUACCAAGGCGGCGGCGGGUAGCCGGCCUGUGAGGGUGACCGGCCACACUGGGACUGAGAUACGGCCCCGGCACCUACUGGUGGCAGCAGUGGGGAAGCUUGCACGAUGGGCGCCAGCCGGAUGCAGCAACGCCGCGGGCGGGAUGACUGCCUUCGUGUUGUAAACCGCUUUCAGCAGGGACGAAGCUUUUUGUGACGGUACCUGCAGAAGAAGCACCGGCUAACUACGUG